rnacentral:ncRNA from 1 species
CAGAGUAGGCAUCCACGCGUUGACCUUUAUGGUCUUCAGUGCCGUCUGCACAGGGAGUUGGCAGUCGGACGAAGUGUUUUACCGCGGUGUGGGUGCCGCAUCCCGCUGU